ACUUUUAAAGGAAAAUAGAUAUCCACUAACCUUAGGCGUUAAAACACUUGGUGCAAAUCCAAGUAAAAGUA
rnacentral:tRNA from 1 species